rnacentral:rRNA from 1 species
AGUAUGUUUAGGCUUCAGUCCCACAGCGAGCGCAACCCUUAUAUCUAGUUGCCAGCAGUAAGAUGGGGACUCUAGAUAGACUGCCAGUGAUAAACUGGAGGAAGGUGGGGAUGACGUCAAAUCAUCCUGCCCCUUAUGACUUGGGCUACACACCUGCUACAAUGGAUAGGAACAAAGAGAAGCGAGCUCGCGAGAGUAAGCAAACCUCACAAAACUAUUCUCAGUUCGGAUUGUAGUCUGCAACUCUACUACAUGAAGCUGGUAAUCGCUAGUAAUCCGAAUCACAAUGUCGCUACUGAAUACGUUCCCUGGUCUUGUACACACCGA